AAAGGUCACUGCUUCCUACUGCCGGGGAUACUCCAACAAUUCUCGGGAACAGGUGACGGGAUAUCGAUAAGAUCCGUCGUAGGAGAGACUCUACUAGGGAACUUAUCGAGGAACGAUGUGAAACUCCGUGGGGAACAACCGCCAAACAUAUACUCCUCAAACAAACAUUCCUUCUAAUUGCUAGAGAGAUAUCUCUGCUAAAGGGAGAAAGACCAAUUAGCUCCCCUGGGGGAAAGGAAAC
rnacentral:lncRNA from 1 species